AGAGUCUUAAUUCAGGGAUGGAACUCAUGACGUGGUCUACGCAGAACUAGACUAAUCAACCUUAUGGGAAUUGUUAUGCAAAUGGUCUUCUCUUGCCACACAGUCAGUUCCUCUUUGUUUUCGACUUACAAGAAAAUGCCGUUGCUAGUUAUGGCGGAAAUAUUUUUACUUCCCUGCGCUAAGCACAUUCCGUGAGGUCGCCAAAUGAUUCUUUAGAACUAAAACCAAGCUGACAUGUUGACAUUAGCUCACCAGCUGUCAGAGAUCAUGGGAGCCAUUCUAUUUUACUGAUUGUGGUCGGUCAAUUUCUCUUUUUAUUUGACCAACACAUCGAGUCUGUUUAAAAGAUUUAACAUAUGCAUGUGUGGCAGUUUCAACUUUUCUUUAUGUCUUCAUUUAGCGCUACUCAAGGACCAAGGAGCAAGAGUUUACUAGAUGUGCGAAUGGCUUUUCUCAGCCGUAUUCCAAUCCAGGUUCUGAAUUGUAUUGACAUAGAUGAGUGUUUUUGAGAACCAACAUUUUUGUGGGCAACGGGGGAAUCUGUGUCAAUCAGGUGGGUAGCUACCUGUGCAAGUGUCCCACAGGAUUCAGUAACUACGGCAACAGACAAACUCAGUGUGCAGGUGAGAAACAUUUCCUCUUGGUGUUGUUGUAUUGGGUUUUGUCUAAAUACUCUAAGGUGGCUACCUUUUGUCUGUCUUCCAUGUACUAGCUGACUGUACUGAAGCACCAAACAUUCUAUGUCAGGUUUUAUUCUGUACAUAGUGUACUGUAGAAUGGUUAGAGGUAAUAUGUCUCCAUAUUUUUACUUUAGGCUUAAUUGUGACCAGUAUGAAACACAGCCCGGACAGACUCUACCAGGCUUGAUAGUUUCUUG